rnacentral:rRNA from 1 species
GACGAACGCUGGCGGCGUGCUUAACACAUGCAAGUCGAACGAAGAGCGAUGGACGCUUGCUUCUAUCAAUCUUAGUGGCGAACGGGUGAGUAACGCGUAAUCAACCUGCCCUUCAGAGGGGGACAACAGUUGGAAACGACUGCUAAUACCGCAUACGAUCUAAUCUCGGCAUCGAGGAAAGAUGAAAGGUGGCCUCUAUUUAUAAGCUAUCACUGAAGGAGGGGAUUGCGUCUGAUUAGCUAGAUGGAGGGGGAACGGCCCACCAAGGCGAUGAUCAGUAGCCGGUCUUGGAGGAGGAGCGGCCAACAUGGGAAUGGGACACGGCCCAGACUUCUACGGGAGGCAGCAGUGGGGGAUCUUCCGCAAUGGACGAAAGUCUGACGGAGCAACGCCGGGUGAGUGAUGAAGGCCUUCGGGUUGUAAAGCUCUGUUAAUCGGGACGAAAGGCCUUCUUGCGAACAGUUAGAAGGAUUGACGGUACCGGAAUAGAAAGCCACGGCUAACUACGUG